AACGCACAUUGCGCCCCUUGGUAUUCCGAGGGGCAUGCCUGUUCGAGCGUCAUUACAACCCUCAAGCAGUGCUUGAUAUUGGGCUCCGCUACUCACCUAACGGGCCGUCGGGCCCUGAGCGCAGUAAAUAUCCUCACUACAAGACUCGGUGGACGCUGGCCAUCAACCCCCACUCUCUAAGUUUGAGCUCAGAUCAGGUAGGGAUACCUGCUGAACUUAA
rnacentral:misc_RNA from 1 species